rnacentral:lncRNA from 1 species
AAGCAAGCCAGAGCUGACCCACAGAACUGGAAGCCAGAAGUAAUGUCAGGAGAAGCUUUCCCAUUUGAAAGAUAAUGAAACACCUAAAGAAUGCUGCCAAUCGCCAGAGGCAGACAUGUUUAUCAAGCUGUGUAUCUUGAAGUCUGACAUAAAAUCUGUGGCCUUUGGUACAGCUGAAAAACACUCUGUCAACACCAUGGAGAGUGCAAGCCCGUGGUGCUGGCCUCAACCCAAGGAGUGCAGGGGAAUGGACAAAAAUUUGACUCAAGGCCAAAAAUUACAAGAGGAGGGAAAGUCAGACUUGAGGCGAACAAGCCUUUUCCAUCGGGUCUGUUUAAUAUCUUGUGUAAGCAUCCAAACCACAAAUCGGUCAGUGCUUAGGUGAAAAGACAAGUUUUUCUCCCUUUUGGAAAGCUAUUUUGCUUAAGCUCCUAUGAAUACAUCAAUUAUAUUAGCCCUGAGAGUGUCUGUCAGUGCAAUGUUAAAAGGUCCACUAUUUUUCAGACUGCCCACAUCAGAAACAAAAUACCCUUCAAACUCUCUGCCCUGAAUUGCUUGGGCCAAAGAGAGCUUGAGAGAAAAAGGCAUAAACUCCACAACAUUGACAGUGAUAAGAGCCACUGGUUUUAAGUAAAUUUGUAGUCAUAUUUAUCAGCUUAAUAAAAUCCCCCCAGCACUCGUGUGCCAUCAAAUUCUUCAAGUCAGGAAAAAUGGCUCUUUUGUGACAGAAGAUAUAAGGUCAAAGAGCAGGUUGUCAGCGAGACCGCCUCCCCUGCAGGCCAGUUGGGCUUGGAGCUUUGGGAAGGCAAGUUUGCAAGAGCCUAGGCCUGUUGCAGAAAUACUCUGUCCUCAGCUUUUCCUUCAGGGCCAGGUCCCUGGAUUCUUGGAUAAGACAUUUACAGUAUGCGGGCACCACAUUGAAUCAGGACUGUGUGCAGAGAAGCAAACCAGGCCUUUCCAUAUAGAUAGGAAAAACUAAUCAUAACAGUUCAUGGUUAUGCAGCUUCCAAUGGACUCCAUUGUUACCUGGUAAUCAUCAGUCAGUUGUCAUCACCCUUAACCUUAAAGGUGUCAUUUUCGUACUUCAGGUAUUCUUUCCAAAGUCCCUCUACCCCUUCUUCUCCCUGUCUUAUCUGUCCCUGAUCUCUGCCACCCUCAGUUGCUUACAUUGGCCAACCAGCCUGAAAUGGAAGAGGUUGAAUCCUUCAUGCUAUGUGCAUAGCCAACAUUCCACAAGAUUUAUGUCACUAAAGCCUGUGAAAAUGACAAAUGGUGAGAAAGAGGGCCAAAAAGUGAAGCAAAAAUAAAUCCAACUAUGAUUUAACAAAGGGCGGCCCAGUACCUGUACCUAGUGGGUGCUGUGAUAUCUUGGGGGACGUGAAUUUAACAAGAGAAAUAAACUGCUCUAUGAGGAUCUUUAAAAUGCUCUUGUUUUCCAUUCAAAAUCUCUUUAGUAAAGUUGCUUUUUACCAUUAAGUCAUAAUCCAAUUGUGUCAAUGUGGUAAUUAAACAUCUGGAUUGAUUAGGUGGGAAAAGGGAGAUUAUUUUCUAAGAUAUUUUCUCUAAAAAAUAAGCUUAAGAGUAGAAGGGCCCUGGUUUCCCAGAGUUGUCUAGAGUCAUGGAAGGAAGGCCGCCAAUAUGAGGGAUGAGGAUGGCCACACAGUAGGGUGACUUUUCAAUAAAAUAACCUUUUUUUUUCUUGUCACAUUUAGUGAGCUUACUGCAACUACUACCCUACCAAAAGUCACCGACUUCAGUAAACCAUGGCUCAGCCAUAUAAUGAAUCAUCCAGAUGAUCAAAAUUAUUCUUAUGAAGAGCUUUUAACAACAAAUACAGCUACUUGUGAUAUAACACUGUGAACAAAAGCAAGAUAUACAAGGGCAUUUGCAGUAUAAUGACAACUAUGAAACCAAUCCACAUACGAGAAAUAUUUUUAAAUGGAAUAAAAUCUAUAAAAGGCAUCACCUACUUCUUUCAAAGGUCACAUAUUCCUUAAUCAUGGCUUGAAGCCUCAGAGCUAAA